GGGAGUGACCGGCUUCGACAAGGAAAAUGUCGAUUGUGCGCGGCGUCGAGCGUGUUCGCGGACUCGUAAAAAACGUGAACGACUUGAAAGUGCCAAGAAUAAAAGCACCGGUGGAGUUGCAACGCCUUAUUUUAAGGCAGGUAACUUUGCUUUCGCUUACGCUUAAGUGAGCGACGCAUCCUCGGGAGUACUCCUGAUAGGCUCGAGUGAUGUGUCAUUCUUUCAGGAUAGGAGCGUACCGCCUGGAUACGCCACCGAAAAUUAACAGGCGUAGCGCGUGAGGAUUUCGUUUUUCUUUUACCCCACACGCGAAACAUCAAGACAAACUACGCGCCGUAGACCCACGACUCUUCAUCUCUUUGAACGGGGGUUCGAUUCCCCCCACUUCCACAA
rnacentral:tmRNA from 4 species